rnacentral:lncRNA from 1 species
GCCCAGGCGGGGGAAACCUUAUCGUGGGCCUGGACCGGAGAGGGGGAAACUCGAUCUUUGGGACUUUGAACAAGUAAAAUGAGAGAAGUUUGCUAAUAAAGCUAUCACCAAAGGUUAGAAACAAAAUCAAGUAGAAGAAAUGCUUAUAGUAUGGCAUGUGGGAACACCUCUACAGCAGAUAGUCUUGUGUUAGGGGCUAUCCAGAUUAUGAUUGGCAUUUUUCAUAUUUUCAUGUGGUAUUUCCUAUUGGUUUUGUAUAUGGGGCAAAUUAAAGGAGUCUUUGGGACAUAUGAACCUAUAACUUACAAAACAGGAUGUGCUUUUUGGGGAAUUUUUUAUAUUGUGUCAGGAGCUUCCACAAUAAGAUCAACACAGAAAUCGAGUCAAUACCUGACGAUAUUGGCUUUGGUCAUGAACAUCUUCUCUGUAAUUACUGCAUUUAUUGCACUAUGUCUAACAGUAUUUGAGUUGUCUACUUUUCAUACUGUGUCAUAUAGGAAUUAUGGACAAGUGUAUGUAGAGGAUCAUCAGUGGAAAUAAUUCAGAGAAUAGAAAACAAGACUGUAUGGCCGGGUACAGUGA